rnacentral:misc_RNA from 1 species
UGCGGCUGGAUCCCCUCCUUUCUAAGGAACGAACACUGCCCGGUCCCGAGCAAAUGUCUUGGGAGUGCCGGGAAAGUUCCUACGUCGAUCACUGGUUAAUCGGUGUCGCGGAACACACCCGACCCCGCCGAUCCGCCAGUCGCCUCCGGGCGACCGGGCCGCCGGCGGCAUCACCGGGCCCCGUGCCAUCGGACUUCACUGCUCUGUUUUGAGGAAGCGUCCCGACCUCGUGUCGAGGCCUUCCGGCAGAACGGGUGCGAUCACACCGCCGUCGAGCUCAUUGCGUGCUCCGGCUGCGGUCGCAUACCGCCGCCCCUCGAGACCUUGAACACACUGGUCUCGGCGCGUCUCUUGAGAACUGCAUAGCGAGCACGAGCGUCUUGAAAUGACAACCAAGAUUCCGCAUCUUGGUUGGUGUGUCUCCUUCACGUUCCAUAUCUCUCGAUCGCGGAACGUGCGAGGAGUGUGCGAUUUCAAGCUACAAAGAGCCAACGGUGGAUGCCUUGGCGCCAGGUGCCGAUGAAGGACGUGGGUGGCUGCGAAAAGCCACGGGGAGCUGUCUACCAAGCUUUGAUCCGUGGAUCUCCGAAUGGGGAAACCCGGAAGGGGCG